GAUGUCAGGCUUCCAAGAAAAGCCCGAACCACGUUAAUUCAAAUUGGCCCGUACCCUAAACCGACACAGGUGGGAAGGUAGAGUAUACCCAGGGGCGCGAGAUAACUCUCUCUAAGGAACUCGGCAAAAUGGCCCCGUAACUUCGGGAGAAGGGGUGCCACCGAGAGGUGGUCGCAGUGAAGAGUCCCAGGCGACUGUUUACCAAAAACACAGGUCUCCGCUAAGUCGCAAGACGAUGUAUGGGGGCUGACGCCUGCCCAGUGCCGGAAGGUUAAGGAAGUUGGUCAGGGAGCAAUCCUGAAGCUAGCGACUGAAGCCCCGGUGAACGGCGGCCGUAACUAUAACGGUCCUAAGGUAGCGAAAUUCCUUGUCGGGUAAGUUCCGACCCGCACGAAAGGCGUAACGAUCUGGGAGCUGUCUCGGAGAGAGGCUCGGCGAAAUAGGAAUGUCUGUGAAGAUACGGACUACCUGCACCCGGACAGAAAGACCCUAUGAAGCUUUACUGUAGCUUGGUAUUGGGUUCGGGCUUUGAUUGCGCAGGAUAGGUGGGAGACUAUGAGAUAGCUCUUGUGGGAGUUAUGGAGUCACUGGUGAGAUACCACUCUAUCAAGGCUAGAAUUCUAACUUUGACCCGUUAUCCGGGCAGAGAACAGUAUCAGGUGGGCAGUUUGACUGGGGCGGUCGCCUCCUAAAUGGUAACGGAGGCGCGCAAAGGUUCCCUCAGGCUGGUUGGAAAUCAGCCAUUGAGUGUAAAGGCAUAAGGGAGCUUGACUGCGAGACUGACAAGUCGAGCAGGUACGAAAGUAGGCCUUAGUGAUCCGACGGUUCCGCGUGGAAGGGCCGUCGCUCAACGGAUAAAAGUUACUCUAGGAUAACAGGCUGAUCUCCCCCAAGAGUUCACAUCGACGGGGAGGUUUGGCACCUCGAUGUCGGCUCAUCGCAACCUGGGGCUGUAGUCGGUCCCAAGGGUUGGGCUGUUCGCCCAUUAAAGCGGUACGUGAGCUGGGUUCAGAACGUCGUGAGACAGUUCGGUCCAUAUCCGGUGCAGGCGUAGGAACAUUGAGAGGAGUCUUCCUUAGUACGAGAGGACCGGGAAGAACGCACCGCUGGUGUACCUGUUAUCGUGCCAACGGUAAACGCAGGGUAGCCAAGUGCGGAGAGGAUAACCGCUGAAAGCAUCUAAGUGGGAAGCCCACCUCAAGAUGAGUGUUCCCAUGGCAAAAGCCAGUAAGGUCACGGGUAGACCACCCGUUAAUAGGCGCUAGAUGGAAGUCCAGCAAUGGAUGUAGUCGAGGCGUACUAACAGACCGAGGGCUUGAC
rnacentral:rRNA from 1 species